rnacentral:rRNA from 1 species
CAGCCGCCGCGGUAAUACAGAGGGUGCGAGCGUUAAUCGGAUUUACUGGGCGUAAAGCGUGCGUAGGCGGCUUUUUAAGUCGGAUGUGAAAUCCCUGAGCUUAACUUAGGAAUUGCAUUCGAUACUGGGAAGCUAGAGUAUGGGAGAGGAUGGUAGAAUUCCAGGUGUAGCGGUGAAAUGCGUAGAGAUCUGGAGGAAUACCGAUGGCGAAGGCAGCCAUCUGGCCUAAUACUGACGCUGAGGUACGAAAGCAUGGGGAGCAAACAGGAUUAGAUACCCCAGUAGUCCCUGUCUCUAUACA